AAUUUUGUAAAAUGGGGGAAACCCUGAUCCAGCCAUCCCGCGUGUAUGAUGAAGGUCAUCGGGUUGUACCGUACUGUUGUCGGAGAAGAAAAGGUAUCUCCUAAUACGAGAUAUUGCUGACGGGAUCUGCAGAAUAAGCACCUGCUAACUACGUGCCAGCAGCCGCGGUAAUACGUAGGGUGCAAGCGUUAAUCGGAAUUACUGGGCGUAAAGAGUGUGUAGGCGGUUCGGAAAGAAAGAUGUGAAAUCCCAGGGCUCAACCUUGGAACUGCAUUUAUAACUGCCGAGCUAGAGUAUGUCAGAGGGGGGUAGAAUUCCACGUGUAGCAGUGAAAUGCGUAGAUAUGUGGAGGAAUACCGAUGGCGAAGGCAGCCCCCUGGGAUAAUACUGACGCUCAGACACGAAAGCGUGGGGAGCAAACA
rnacentral:rRNA from 1 species